AAUGGGAGUCGGCAAAAGGGGCGGGACAUGAGCGGUCGCGGCGCGGGCUCGUCGGACGCCAACGGCCGCCGGUAAACCGCACCAAGAGUAGCUCUGGAGACCCAAUGGCUGAAAGGAAAUGAGAACAGCCGAAUCUCUUACCAACGUGUUUUUCCACCAAUGCCUAUGGACAGAAGGAGUUCUUCGCCACAGCCAUCAGACUAUUAAACUCAACUGAAACAAAUCUCUGAACAUUAAUAGACCAUUAUCUGUUUAUUUGCACUUUACCUGCUUAUUUAUUGAUGUGUAUAUAUAUUUAUAUAAUGGUAUAUAGACACACAUAUGUUCUGUAUUCAUGCCUACUAUAUUCUGUUGUGCUUAAGCAAAGUAAGAAUUUCAUUGUCCUAUCUGGGACACAUGGCAAUAAACUCUCUUGACUUGACUUGAGUAGGAAUGCUUCCCCGGGCCACAGUCCAAGCAUUCUGCAUCUUUUUGCUGUCUAUUUUAUGUAUGUUCCUUGCAUCUCCCACCACAGCCCAUUACUUAUGAUCCUACCUCUCAGGUAAGGUUUAGAGGGAUGUGGGGAGGUGGAACUAGUGUAGAUGAGGCAUCUUGUUUGGCAUAGGCAAGUUGGGCUGAGGGCCUGUUUCUGUGCUAUAUCACUCGAUGAUCAAUCCAAGCUCUUGCCUUCAUAAUGCCUCCUUAUGCAGGCGUUCCUGUCCAACUGUCAUCCGAUCUCUCAACCUGGCUGAUUGCAGGCAGGAAAUGAGUCCAAAAAAUGUGAACUAGGUUUUGUAGUUAAAUUAAGGAUUACAUACCUACUCAAUAGGAAGAACUCUCCCGACUUCUUCUUAUUAGACUCUGGUGGGAAAUUCCUUGACAUGGAAAUAUAUUUUCCUUCUAAACAUUAAUUACUCGAUCCACCUUUGAUCUUGUCUCUUCUGAGAUCUUCAGUGAUGAGCACAUAUCAUUCAGUCAAACUUUAAAGACAAACCAGUAGCGUCAUUUGCAAACAUACAAACAGUACAUGUACAAUUCUGCAGUAGACACAAAAUGCUGGAGAAACUCAGUGGGUCAGGCAGCAUCUCUGGAGAGAAGGAAUGGGUGACGUUUUUUGGGUCGAGACCCUUCUUCAGCACAGAAAUGUCACCCAUUCCUUCUCUCCAGAGAUGCUGCCUGUCCUGCUGAUUUACUCCAGCAUAUUGUGUCUACCUUUGAUUUAAAUAAGCAUCUGCAGUUCUUUCCUACACAUCCUGUACAAUUCUGCAGUCUGUAGAUUAAGGAAGUGAGAUACAUCAAAUAACUGAAAGUUGUUUGAAGUGGAAAUACUCUGAAAUGUCAGACAGUACCUAAAUGAGUAAUGUCAUGUUAGAGGAUCAAAUAAAAAAAUAGUUUAAACGCA